GACGAACGCUGGCGGCGUGCCUAAUACAUGCAAGUCGAACGCAGUGGGGACGGGUGAGUAACACGUGGGUAACCUCCCAUCAGAGGGGAUAACACUUGGAAACAGGUGCUAAACCGAUACUGAUGGAUGGACCCGCGGUGCAUUAGCUAGUUGGUGGGGUAACGGCUCACCAAGGCAACGAUGCAUAGCCGACCUGACAGGGUGACCGGCCACACUGGAACUUGGACAAGGCCCAGACUCCUACGGGAGGCAGCAGUAGGGAAGCUUCGGCAAUGGACGAAAGUCUGACCGAGCAACGCAGCGUGAGUGAAGAAGGUUUUCGGAACGUAAAACGCUGUUGUGAGAGAAGGGGUAUCUAACCAGAAAGCCACGGCUAACUACAUGCCAGCCGCCGCGGUAAUAC
rnacentral:rRNA from 1 species